rnacentral:lncRNA from 1 species
GAGAUGGACCCGAAUGUCAAUUCUGAAUACAGCAGGAUCAUACAAAUUCAGCAGCGACAGGACGAUUCAUGAAUAUGCACGUGAUAUUUGGAACAUUCAACCUGCCAUAUUGCCAUGCUAAUGACUAGCAGUUGCAGAGUUGGCAGUGCCACGGCUUCAGGAAGAUUGAAUGGUCUUUCAUCCUUAGUCUUCCAAGUUUUUCCUCCACAACCACCUCUCCUGUCGGGGAAGACAUGUAUAAAAUAAAAUUUUCUUCCAAUGUAAAGGAAAUCGCCGGAAAUAAAUGUGGUUCUAGUAGCCAAGUGCAAUAAAACAAGUUGCUCCAUAAGCAUGUAAGAAAUGUAAUUUCAAAAAUUUCGCCAAUAUCAUGAAGACGAAAAGUUGUAAUCGUCAUAAAAGCUACUUAAAUAAGAUUCACUCGAUAGCUUAGAUAAACCACAAAUCAGGCAAUCACUCCUAAUAAAUUAAAAAGUAAAGUGAAAACAAAUACUGAAUAUAUACGUGUAUACAACAAUAAUAUUAAAUUGUUUUUGCAUCAUACUGGCUGCUCUUCAUUUCAGAAACAAGAAUGGUUAAAGGAAUCUGAAAGCUUCAGAGCGUGUUUCUUAGAGAAAAACUGUUUUCAUUUUCUGUUAUUUAAGAAAGCAGUUUUUUUUUUUUUUUUUUUUUUUUGAAAAAUUAAAAACUAGAAAAUAAAAAAUGAAAAAUGUGUUCGGCAACAAUAGAAAGUUAUAUUUUAAUUUAAAAUUUUUUAAAUAUUUUUCUUAGCUUUCAUAAUUAAUAAAAGAAAUAAAAUAUUAUAAAAUAAAUUUAAAAUUUUUUUAUUUUUAUUAUUGAUUAUUUAUGAUAAUAAUAUAAAUUUUAUCAUUUUGUAAAAUUUUUUAAACAUAAAGGAUAUAAUAUAUAUGUAAUAAUAAAAUUAAUUAUAUAUUAAAGUAUUAUGUUAUUUAAAUAUUUUUUAUUUUUUCAGUAAAAAUAUUUUAUAUACAAAAUUAUUUUUAGAUGUUAUAAUUUAAUUAUAAAAAUAUUAUUUUUUAAAAAUGAAAAACGAUUGGAAAAUAUGUUUUUUUUUUUUUUUGUUAUAAAGACAUAUUCUCUAUCUCUUUCGAGGAUUUUUUUUUUUUUUUUUUUUUUAAGGUCUUCUCAGGAUCCAUUUUUAGAGAGAUGCUGGCAUGAUGCAAAUAAACACUACUAUAUAUAAUAAUAAUACUCUCUAUACAUAAAUAGAGAGUUUUGUUCUCGUAAAAAUUAUCUUUUAUUUUUAUUGCAUUUCAUAAAUUUAUAAUUUGUACUUCAAAAUGAAUAGUUUAAUAUUGAAGACAUAUAUACAAUUUGAUAUUGAUGUAUUAUUAAUUUAUUAUGAAAAUUAUAUAGUUUGUCAUAAAACUAAAUGAAGUGAUAAUUACUAUAAUUUUUAAAAUGUUAAUUUUAAUUAUAUAGUAGAAUUUAUUUGGUAAUUUUAUUUAAAUUAUUAUUAAAAGAAUUAUUUCUUUAAUUUUACAAUUUAAAAAUAUCAUUUUUAAAUAUUCACUAAAACAAAUGAAAUUAUGAAAAUACAUCAUAGACUAUCAUUCACAGUGAAAAGAAAAAAAAUCAACUUUCAAUAAAUUUAAAAUUUGAUCAAUUUAAUUUCAUAUUAUUUUUUAAAAUAUUAGAAUAGAAUCAUGAUUUAUAAUAUUAAAUCUAUCAUUUUAAAUAAAUUAAAUAUCAUGCAUUUAUUCAAUGAAUUUAAAAUUAUAAAAUUUUUUAUAUGUUGUUAAAUUUUAACUAAAUAACCAAUAAUAAUAAUUGAAUUAAAUUAUAAAUUUAUAAUAUUAUUUUAUUUUUGAAUAUUCAUGUGAAUUGUUGUGUAUUCAUAAAAUGAAAUCGAAAUUAAAGUUAACAAUUAAAAUUAAAUAAAAAACUUAAAAUUAAAUUAAUUAUUAGGGCUUGUUUUUGUUAUAACUAAAUAUAAAAUGUUUCUAAAUAUAAAUUGUCACAUUGUAGGGCUGGGAAUAGAACUCGGACAAAAUGACCUAAAUGUACAGGUGCAACCAAUCAAACUAUCAAGGAGAUUUUUUACUUAAUUGAGUUUAAUCGAACUAAUUUUUUAAACAAACUGAACUGAAUUAUUUUGACUGAAUUAAUUUUGAUCGCUAGCCAUCGAAACUAUAGAAAAUGACAACUUAAUUAAUCAAAUUUCGUGAUAAACUGAUUCUAACCGAAAUUAUUAAUCACUUCUUAAUCAAAGUAAACACUGAAAUAUUUUUUUAUUAUCAAUCUAAUCAAAACCAUGUAGUUUUAAGAAUCAAUUAAUUUGAUUAAUUUAGUUAAAUUAACUUUUAACCGAAUCUUUAACUAAUUGCCAAAAAUAUAUUGUUUUUUUAACUAAACUUUUAAUCAAACAUUUAUUCACCAUAUUAAAUCAAUUGAAUUGGCCAAAUUAAUUGAAUUUACUGAAUCGAAUGCUAGCUCUUACUAUUUCAAAACUUAUGCAUAAAAAAUUUUAUGGUCCGGAAGGGGCCGCCACUUCGUCCCUGAUUGUGAUAAAAAAUAAAACUUGAAUAUUUGAGGGAUAAAUGUUAUUUUAGAGCGCAGUUAUUACAAUCACUAAAGUUUCGAGCAUUUUAUAUAGUUAACCUUUUUUUUUUUGUUCGGUUAAUUCAAUACGAGGUGUAGCAUCCACAUUUAUUAUAUUUUUACUCAUUAAUUUUGACAAUUUUGAGUUAGAGUAGAAUUAUGAUAAUAAAAAGUUAUAAUUGAGGUGUGUCACUGACAAAGUUGGAUUUGAAGGUAUUUUUAUGGUUUAGCUUAAGUUAAGCUAUUCCGACUGUCGUUUCACAGAGGUGAAAUAUCAUACUUCCGUCACACUACUCUACAAACAAACACUCUCAAAACCACUGCAUUCACAUCUCAUCAUCCAAUGCAAAUUUGACACGUAAUUAAAAUAAAUCUCAAUCUAUCCGACAUAUCGCCAAGUGGAAAAAACAAAAAAAAUCAUCAAAAAUAUAUUAACAGAAUCCCAUAGCUUUAGCUCAUUCGAUUGCGAGAGCAUCUAUUGGUUACGCUCGUCUCCCAAGUGUGAGAUGUGAUACCUGACCGUACUGCUGAAAUUUAUCAUUUGUGUUAAUGAAGUUUGGAUUUUUUCCUUUAAAAAAAAAAAAAAAAAUCCCACAGCUUUAACGGUGGAGAUAAAACGGCCUCGGCAUUCGAUCACUGGCAACGUGUAUCCUUUCGCGAAAAUAUUACCGUCCUUUUAUUAUUUUUACGCUUGAAUUGAAUGAUUCAAUCUCCGGGUCACAGGUACGUCCUGUCCCAUCAUUCACACUAUAAAAACUCUCCUGCAGGUUGUCACUGAUCACCGAUCACACAGUGAGCAAAGCAGAAGUGAAAGGGAGAGGGGAACACAAUGGCAACAAACACUUCACAUUUAUCUGCAACUACGCAUUGUACCUCUGUUUCCCGAUUUGUAGAUUUCGGUUCCAGAAGUGGAAAGUCGACAUCGAAUUUGUUUUUGGUUCGAAAUUUGAGGCCGCGACCUGUUUCGCGGUCGUUUUCGGUUAAGAAUGUGUUUAGUGAGCAAAUGCAGAAGCUUAAAGAUCUGGUCGCUGGAGAAGGUGCUCUGGUUCCUUUCAUUUCUGUUGUGUUCUUCUACUCUGGUUGUUUUUCCUUUAGCACGUUCCGCUUUUUGAACGCUAUAAGUUCCUGAGUUAUAAUUAUAUCUUAUGCUCCAGUUAAUUGAGUUUCUUAUAUUUUCUUGUAGAGAUGCCAAGUGGUCAGAAUCCUUCCACUGCAGAUUCCUCGUCUAUUGCCGCAAGUAUCAAAUACCAUUCAGAAUUCACAUCAGCAUUUUCUCCCGAGGAAUUUGAGCUUCCAAAGGCCUUUUUGGCUACUGCACAGAGUGUUCGUGAUGCUCUUAUUAUAAACUGGAAUGCAUCAUAUGAGUCCUAUGAGAGUUUGAAUGCAAAACAAGCAUAUUAUCUGUCAAUGGAAUUUUUACAGGUUUUUCCGUCAUCUCCUGGUUUUAUUCCCAAAAUUUGAGAAUUCGUCAUCUGCAAAGCAUUGUUACUUCAUCACAAUAUCUGCUCUUGUAGGGAAGGGCUUUGUUGAAUGCAAUUGGUAAUUUAGAGCUGACUGGCACUUAUGCAGAGGCCUUGACCAAACUUGGACACGCUUUGGAAACUGUGGCUCGUCAGGUAAGGGGUUUUUAGUAACUUUCUUCAGUAAAAUUACUUGUAUUAACUUUUAAGUUGAUCUUGAUUUGAUAUGUUCCCAUUGCUAUUUUGGAAUGCCUCAUGCAAAGCUUCAGUUACAGAUUGAAACGUUUGGAAAAAUCUUACAAUUUGUUUCUUUAUUUCAGUGGCUAAAAAGUAGUUUAAUUCCUUUGUUAAAUUUCUUCAGUAAUUACUUUGAUCUGGUAUAGAGUAUAUGCCAAUGGUUACCGAAAAAUUUAUGAUUCUCUCUGUAAGUGUGUGCAUAUUUGUACCCAUAUGGUUCUAGAUGUGAUUUUAGUUCCUAAAUUCAUUGGUCAAAUUGUAAUAGGAGCCUGAUGCUGCACUUGGAAAUGGUGGUCUUGGGCGACUUGCUUCCUGCUUUUUGGACUCUAUGGCGACAUUAAAUUACCCUGCAUGGGGUUAUGGACUAAGGUACAAGUAUGGUCUAUUUAAACAGCGCAUUACCAAAGAAGGUCAAGAGGAGGUUGCUGAAGAUUGGCUUCAGGUAUUUUUUGUUUCGGGUGAUUCCUAUAAAUAUGUCGUGGUCCUUUGAAGCUGAGAUUUUUAAUCUAUUAUCCUCCUGAAAUUUUUGUUAAUCAUAUUUUUCUCCUUUUAGAUGGGCAAUCCCUGGGAAAUAGUGAGAAACGAUGUUGCAUAUCCUGUGAAAUUUUAUGGCAAGGGUGUUUGUGGAUCAGAUGGAAAAAAUCGUUGGAUUGGAGGAGAAGAUAUAAUGGCUGGGGGACAUGAUGUCCCUAUACCGGGAUAUAAAACUAAAACAACCAUUAACCUGCGACUUUGGUCAACUAAAGCUCCAGCAGAAUAUCUGGACUUGUCUACUUUCAAUUCUGGGGAGCACACAAAAGCAUGUGAGGCCCUAGCAAAUGCUGAAAAGGUGUGGAUUUGUUCCUUAAUAUUCUAUUGUUCUGAAUGUUCUUCUUCCGCAUGUUCUUUUCUGGAAAACAAUAUGAAUGCUACUAUGCUAGAAUUAUCUGUAUAAUACUUUCGCUUAAUAUCAGAUUUGCUACGUUCUCUACCCUGGGGAUGACUCCGUGGAGGGCAAGAUCCUCCGGUUGAAGCAACAAUACACCUUAUGUUCCGCUUCUCUCCAAGAUAUCAUUGCACGUUUUGAGAGAAGAUCUGGAUCGAAUGUAAAAUGGGAAGAAUUUCCGGAGAAAGUCGCAGUGCAGAUGAAUGAUACUCACCCCACACUCUGCAUCCCAGAGCUGAUGAGAAUCUUGAUGGACUUAAAAGGAUUGAGCUGGAAGGAGGCCUGGAAUAUUACUCAAAGGUAUUUCUUUUUCAUGAUUGUUUUAACUACAUAUGUGGAUUUUCCCUUUCCCUUUUAUUUUUUCUUUUUUGAUAAGCUACACAUUCUAAUACACAAAUGCUUGCCUCUUUAUACCCCAUAAAAAAUUCAGAGAGUUUUUUUUUCUUUUAAAAAAUUCCCAAUAUGCUUCUUUUUCUUUUUAUUAUUGUUACUUGAAGCCACCUUCACUAAGUUUAACAUCAAGAUGUAUAUCCUGUAACCUCACAUUAUGCUGGUUAUGAACCAGAACUGUGGCAUACACAAACCACACUGUUCUACCAGAAGCACUGGAGAAAUGGAGCUUGGAGCUUAUGCAGAAACUGCUACCACGACAUGUUGAGAUUAUAGAAAUGAUUGAUGAAGAGGUAAUAAGGAUACGUUAAACAAAAAUGAUAUAUUUCUGCAGUGUGCUUAUCUUAAUUUUAAUCUCUGUCCUUCCAUAUUUUGCAGCUGAUACACACCAUUGUUUCCAAGUAUGGUAAAGCGGAUCCCAACCUGUUGGAGAAAAAACUGAAGGAAAUGAGAAUAUUAGAAAAUGUAGAUCUACCUGCCACUUUUGCAGAGUUGAUUCCUAAACCUAAGAAAAGCUUAAUUGCUAAUAUCAUUGAAGAACCUGAAAUCAAGUUGGCUAACAAAGAAGAUGAAUCAGAAAGCAAAAACAAAUCCAAGAGCAAGGACACUCAGAAGAAGGAAAAGUCGGUGGUAGAAUCACCUCCAAAACCACCAAAGUUGGUCCGGAUGGCAAAUCUCUGUGUGGUUGGUGGUCAUGCUGUAAAUGGGGUUGCUGAGAUACAUAGUGAAAUAGUGAAGGAUGAAGUGUUUAACUCAUUUUAUGAGGUGAUUUCAUUUUAUUUUAUCACAGUAAAAUGCAGAUUAAAUGACUUCAUUGCACCUGAGGGAUUUAACCAUUUAAGUUCCUUUCCAAAUGAUUGUUUAAAAUGCUUGUAAUUUGACCUCUGUAAUCUAAUUUUUCACAGCUGUGGCCUGAGAAGUUUCAAAAUAAAACUAAUGGUGUCACUCCAAGAAGAUGGAUUCGUUUCUGCAAUCCAGAUUUGAGUAAAAUUAUCACUGAAUGGACUGGCUCUGAAGAAUGGGUCUUGAAUACUGAGAAGCUGGCUGACCUAAGAAAGGUAAUCCACCAUAUUCAAAUUUCUUAUUCUCUCAAUUGGUGGACUGUACACACUCCCUUUCAAUAAAACACUCAACAUAGUUGGGAGCACAAAUGCAUGUCAUGUCUUGAUAUCAAAAUGUAGCUCUAGCUUAUGUCAGAUUUUUGCAUCAUAUUUGGCUGGUUAUUCUAGAAUUAUGUUAGACAUCUCUGAAAAACUAUAUGGUUCCUAAAUUAGUUGUUUGUUAAUUAAUCAAUCUUAAAUGAUCACUGAUCAUCGUGGUUACAAUCUCAGUACUAUUCAGCUAAAUCAAAUUUUUGAAAAUUGUAUGCAGUUUGCAGAGAAUGAGGAUCUUCAAGCCCAGUGGAGGGCAGCCAAAAAAAGCAAUAAAAUGAAGGUCGCGGCACUGAUCAAAGAAAAAACAGGGUAUUCUGUCAGUCCGGAUGCUAUGUUUGAUAUCCAGGUAAUUUUUUGGCUCUCCGGGCUCCUGUUAAUGUGAUAGAAUGCAAGAUAUCGAGUAUUUUAUCGAAAUGAAGAAGUUACACGAAAUUUGAGAUGAACCCUUUACCCAUUUCUGGAUUAGGGUGAAGAACAUGAGAAUUCUAUGGAAGGAAUGCACAACAAUUAGGAAUAUAUAUGUUCUUUCUUUUCAUGCUUUCAUCUGAAAUACCAUUUUAUAUAUAGUUGAUAAUGGUUAUUGUGUUCAGGUGAAGCGCAUUCAUGAAUACAAGCGACAACUGCUGAAUAUUCUUGGAAUUGUGUACCGCUACAAGAAGAUGAAAGAAAUGAGUGCUGUAGAAAGGAAAGCAAGCUAUGCUCCUAGAGUUUGUAUAUUUGGAGGGAAAGCAUUUGCUACAUAUGUGCAAGCCAAGAGAAUUGUGAAAUUUAUAACAGAUGUUGGGGCUACAAUUAAUCAUGACCCUGAAAUAGGUGAUUUACUUAAGGUAUGGCUUGAAUGCUAAAUAUUUCUAUAAAAUUUCAUGGCACUCCAAAGCUUUUGCCCUAAAUGUACGCUAAUCACUUGCAAUGAUUUACGUUCUAUCCCUAAACAGAAGUAUAAUACAUCUCCUUUUCCUAUUAAAUUUUAGGUUAUUUUUGUCCCGGAUUAUAAUGUCAGCGUUGCUGAAUUGCUCAUUCCUGCGAGCGAGCUCUCACAGCAUAUCAGGUAAUUCAGUUUUCUUUUCUUUCACAAAGCAGUUAUUUUGCAAUGAAUGGCUGUAUCCUAAUUUCUCUUUCUUCUUGUAGCACUGCUGGAAUGGAAGCCAGCGGAACCAGCAACAUGAAGUUUGCAAUGAAUGGUUGUAUCCUAAUUGGAACAUUAGAUGGGGCCAACGUUGAAAUACGACAAGAGGUUGGAGAAGAGAACUUUUUCCUUUUUGGUGCUAAAGCUCAUGAGAUUGCAGGUCUGAGGAAACAAAGGGCAGAAGGGAAGGUAUGCCGAAUAUUGGUAUCUUUUCAUUUAUCCGGAAAACAUUUCAGGCCUCGACCGUAUGGAGGGGGCUAUGGUUUACAAAACAAUAGUAACUUUUGCUAACCUCUUAAUAUAGUUUGUUCCGGACCCACGUUUUGAAGAAGUGAAAGAAUUUGUUAAAAGCGGUGUUUUUGGGUCUUUCAAUUAUGACGGGCUAAUGGGAUCCUUGGAAGGAAAUGAAGGUUUUGGUCAAGCUGAUUAUUUCCUUGUUGGCAAGGACUUCCCAAGCUACAUAGAAUGCCAAGAAGAAGUCGACAAGGCAUAUUGGGACCAGAGGGUGAGUUGCUUAUUAAAACACAAUAUGAAAUUCUCCAAACUUUUCCAUUCUGAAGAUUUGAUGAUUGAUUCCGACAUUUCUGUUUUUCUGUAUGCAUUGCCAAACAUUUAAACAUUUUCGUAAAAUCCUUGCCAUUUUCCUGAUGUUUGUAACUACUGGUGGCAGAGAUGGACCCGAAUGUCAAUCCUGAAUACAGCAGGUUCAUACAAGUUCAGCAGCGACAGGACGAUUCAUGAAUAUGCACGGGAUAUUUGGAACAUUCAACCUGCCAUAUUGCCAUGCUAAUGACUAGCAGUUGCAGAGUUGGCAGUGCCACGGCUUCAGGAAGAUUGAAUGGUCUUUCAUCCAUAGUCUUCGAAGAUUUUCCUCCACAACCACCUCUCCUGUCGGGGAAGAUAUGUAUAAAAUAAAAUUUUCUUCCAAUGUAAAGGAAAUAAAUUGAUGGAAAUAAAUGUGGUUCUUGUAGUUAAGUGCAAUGAAAUGGAAUAUGUA